CAAAGCAGAGCUUGUACCUGUUGCUUUUUAUAUAAGGAAGUCUGAGCCUGAUGCCAGAAGGUAGAAACUGGAACUCAGCAUGUAAAGGAUAAGAAGUAUCAGCAAUAAUGGCUUUAGUUUUCCUAGUGAUUUGUUUUUUACACAGUUCUGUAAGUGAGCAUUGUUCAACCCCUAAGAUUUUAUUGCUAGUAUGUAUUACUCGAAGGGCAUUUUUUGGUCUAAUACUAAGAUUUCCAAACCAACAGUGGAGGGAAAAGGUCAACACAGAUUCAAUAUAUGAUCUAUAAAAUAGGAUCAUCAAUGACUUAUCAACUUGAAACUUUGCGAGCCUCCUUAGACAAAAUAAUCUUUGCUGGCCCCUUUUUUUCCCAAGAUUUUUGUGCAGGUUUU